UGAGUAACCUGCCCUUAACUCUGGGAUAAGCCUGGGAAACUGGGUCUAAUACCGGAUAUGACUCCUCAUCGCAUGGGUGGGGGGUGGAAAGCUUUAUUGUUGGUUUUGGAUGGACUCGCGGCCUAUCAGUUUGUUGGUGAGGUAAUGGCCCACAAGGCGACGACGGGUAGCCGGCCUGAGGAGGGUGACCCGGCCACACUGGGACUGAGACACGGCCCAGACCUCCGUACGGGAGGCAG
rnacentral:rRNA from 1 species